AAGAAAACCUUCCCCACAAAAAGCCAAAGUCACAAUGGAACUUUUCACUACCAUGCUUCAACGUGAAUAAACAGUGUGCUUGUAGUUAAUAUCAGGUUCAAUCGCGACCGUUUAUUUAUACGGUAAUUCACCGUUGGAGCAGCAUCAACACUUCACAUCACACGGGCUUCAGAAACAGCUAAUCUGAUACAACUCCAUCAGUUCACGAUCGCGCCACGUGUCUAUGUCUUAAAACCUUUAUUCUCACUCUGGGACCCAGGCACCGCACACAGCCACGGAACAACUUAAACCACGACCCGCCACGACGGCCAAUCAAAUCCCUCCACGGCGCAUCGGCGAAUUUUCCUCUCCGAUCACCGGCGGUUAGGGUUCCGACGAGUAUCCGUCACAGAAUUGGAACCUUUCACGUCGCUGCCACAGAAUCCUCCAGCUCAGGGCCUCUUCCUCCAUUAAUGAACAGCUUUCAUUUUCACACCAUUUAAAGCUUUUUUCGCCUUUUGUUUUUCUACUCCUUUAUACGAUGUCGUAUAUACGACGGAGAAAGGCCCCUGCGAAUCCUGUGCGGAACGAGGAAGAAAAGGAGAAGGAGAAAAAGGUUAAGGCGAGGACUAUCAAAGGAGAAAAGAUAAGGAAAUGGUCGUGCAUGGAUGGUUGUUGUUGGUUCAUUGGAAUGAUAUGUUCAAUUUGGUGGUUCUUACUGUUUUUGUACAAUGCAAUGCCGGCAUCGUUCCCUCAGUACGUGACGGAGGCGAUUACGGGGCCGUUGCCGGAUCCUCCAGGUGUGAAACUGAGUAAGGAGGGGUUGACGGCGGAGCACCCGGUGGUUUUCGUGCCGGGUAUUGUCACCGGCGGGUUGGAACUCUGGGAGGGUCGUCAGUGUGCGGAUGGUUUGUUCAGGAAGAGGUUGUGGGGUGGCACGUUUGGUGAAUUGUAUAAAAGACCGUUAUGCUGGGUUGAACACAUGUCACUAGAUAAUGAAACAGGACUAGACCGUCCAGGCAUUAGAGUUAGGCCAGUUUCUGGACUUGUAGCAGCUGAUUAUUUUGCACCUGGUUAUUUUGUUUGGGCUGUUCUAAUUGCUAAUUUAGCUCGCAUUGGGUAUGAGGAGAAAAACAUGUAUAUGGCUGCUUAUGAUUGGAGAAUUUCAUUUCAGAAUACAGAGGUAAGGGAUCGAUCUUUGAGCAGGAUAAAAAGUAAUAUAGAACUCAUGGUGGCUACAAAUGGUGGUAAGAAGGUGGUUGUUAUUCCACAUUCAAUGGGUGUUUUGUACUUUUUGCAUUUUAUGAAAUGGGUUGAGGCACCGGCACCAAUGGGUGGAGGGGGUGGAUCAGAUUGGUGUGCCAAACAUAUUAAAGCAGUGAUGAACAUUGGGGGACCUUUUCUUGGUGUUCCAAAAUCUGUUGCGGGACUUUUCUCAAUAGAAGCCAGGGAUAUUGCAGUUGCCAGGACUUUCGCACCAGGUUUUUUGGAGAAGGAUGUUUUCGGUCUUCAAACUUUACAACAUCUAAUGCGGAUGACUCGAACAUGGGAUUCAACCAUGUCAAUGAUACCCAAAGGUGGGGAUACUAUAUGGGGUAGCCUUGAUUGGUCACCUGAUGUGUCCUAUAACUGCAGUGUGAAGAAACGCAAGAACAAUGAUACUCACAACGCCUUUCAAAAUGACAAAGAGAGUCUUGGGCUUAUGAAAAAUAUUAGUUAUGGAAGACUCAUAUCGUUUGGGAAAGAUAUAGCCGAGUUACACUCCUCCAAGCUUGAGAGGUUGGAUUUUAGGGGUGCUCUCAAGGGUAGGAACCUUGCAAACACAUCUAACUGUGAUGUGUGGACAGAGUACCAUGAUAUGGGUGUUGAAGGAAUCAAAGCUGUUACGGAUUACAAAGCUUACACAGCUGAUUCAGUUUUGGAUCUGCUUCAUUUUGUCGCCCCCAAGAUGAUGAAACGCGGUGAUGCUCAUUUUUCUUAUGGAAUUGCUGAUGACUUGGAUGAUGAAAAAUACAAACAUUAUAAAUAUUGGUCUAACCCCUUGGAAACAACAUUACCAAAUGCUCCAGAUAUGGAGAUUUACUCUAUGUAUGGAGUUGGAAUCCCUACAGAAAGAGCAUAUGUCUACAAGUUAACUCCUCAAUCUGAAUGCUACAUUCCAUUUCAGAUUGACACCUCAGCAAAUGGUGGAAAUGAGUACUCAUGUCUGAGGGAUGGGGUUUACAGUUCUGAUGGUGAUGAAACGGUUCCUGUUUUAAGUGCUGGUUUCAUGUGUGCCAAAGGUUGGCGGGGAAGAACCCGCUUUAAUCCGUCAGGAAUUCGUACAUUCAUAAGGGAGUAUGAUCACGCCCCUCCGGCCAAUCUUCUAGAAGGUAGGGGAACUCAGAGUGGCGCUCAUGUUGACAUAUUGGGUAACUUUGCAUUGCUUGAAGAUAUUAUACGAGUAGCAGCUGGAGCCUCUGGGGAGGACUUAGGUGGCGAUAGAGUGCACUCCGAAAUUUUCAAAUGGUCUGAAAAGAUAAUUUUGGAUCUUUAGAUUCACGUGGUAACUGAAACAGUAGCUACCGGGAGUGCUUUCCCCCUGAUACAGGACUUGUCUUCACUUGCAUUAGUUAUUCAUCCUCACAUCAAUACUUAGGUACUCGAUAGAAUCCUAUCUACUUCAACUAUUAUGCUUUAAGACGGGGCUGAUGUUAUGAGCUCUGGAGUUGGUAUACCAGUGGCAGUAUGAACGGCAACUUGUUUACUGAGAUUUUAGCCAUAGAAUUUUGUCGGAUUGGGAGUGUUGAGUCUGUUUACAAUCCCCAUCCCCCAAAAAAAUAGUACCAACAUCUUAUUCUAGGUCCAUGAUUCAUGCUUGACUAGAAAUUUGUUAUUCUAUUCAUUGAUUUUAUUAUUGUCAAGUAUUAGUGUUAUUCUGCUCCCGUUUUCAAUCUACUAAAUUUUUCUACGCUGCACGGACGACUUUGUCUUGUCGGUAAAAAUUGAAAAGAUUGAGCAUUUUACGAACCCAUGUGCGAUAGUUGUUGUCAUUUAGCAGAGUACAAGAAUCAAAGAAAGGGUUUCAUUUGGGUUUAGGUAAAAAGGAUUCAGAGGCUUUGUGGCAAAGUCAAGCGUGAGUCUGAUUUAGCUGAUAUGUAGCAGCUUAGGAAAAAUUAUGGUACACUGAUAUUUAGAAUAUAAAAACAGGGAAGAUUGCAGAAGAAAA